rnacentral:lncRNA from 1 species
GAUUAAGUUUGGGGUUGCUCUUGAAAGUGAGCAAAGUUUUAAGUUUGAGGUUGGGGUACUAGAGAAUAUGAUCUAAAAUUUAAAAAAAAAAUUGUUGAAAAGAAGUGAAAAAAGACUAUUCUUCGAAAAAAAUGAAUGAGAAAAGAAAAGAAUGAUAUUAUAAGAAAGAUCAAGACUCUCUAGUACUAGAAAAAAGAAACAAAAGAGGUAUGAUAAUAGAAGGGUAACUAGGAAC